rnacentral:RNase_P_RNA from 1 species
UAGGAAAGUCAUAGAUAUAUAAAUUAAAAUAUAUAAUCAUACCAUUUAUAAAUUAAUUUUAUAUAUAAUUAUUCUCGUUCAAUAGUAUCCCCCCCACACCAUACUUCUAACGACGACCCCGCCCCCCUGCGGGGCGGCGGGAAUCUAUGGUGUAAUGGGGGAAUAAGAAUAAGAUAACAGAAUAGUAAUUAUAUUAUAUAAUAUGGUAUAGAUAAUAUUAUAUUUUAUAAUAAAGUAAUAAAUAUAAAUAAAUAAUAAUGGAAAUAUAAUACUACUCACUGACCCAAGAUGCAUAAUUAAAUAGAGUCGAAGAAAACAUUCUUUUCUUUAUUUGGAGAUAAAAAUAAGAGAGUAAGGGAAGGUGAUUCGUAUUGUAAAUAUCUUAAUAAGUAUAUAUUUCAGGUUCUUUUAAAUUGUUUAAUUAAAAAUGAAUGUAUUUAUAAUACUACUCCAUGGUCCUCCCCGCAAAUUAAAUUUCGCUGGGCGGGAAGGACUACUUUUGUAUUUAAUUUACCUGGAUAUUAAAUAAUAAUAAUAACCGUUCACUUUAAGUUAAUAUACUUAUAUCUUUACAUACCCGCCGGGCCAUGAGCAUCAUUAAAUGGAUAGUAUAGUACCCGGCGGGAGGGAUGAAUAGAUGAAGUAAUUAUUAAGCGAACUAUAUAACGGAGUAUUAUUAUAUAAUAGUUAUAUAUACAUAUUAUUCUUUUUUUAAUACUAUAUCUAUUUUAUAGAUACUCCCUCUGGAUCCAUGAUGCAAAUUCUGCAUCAUGAAAUGAGCCCGGCGGGUAUUAAUAAUAUAAUAAUAUACAAAAAUAUGCUUAA